rnacentral:rRNA from 1 species
UCGAGAAUUUUUCUCAAUGGGCGAAACCCUGAAGGAGCGACGCCGCGUGGAGGAUGAAGGCCUUCGGGUUGUAAACUCCUGUCAUUUGGGAACAUGGUGUGCGCGUUAACUGCGCGCGCAUCGAUAGUACCCGAGCAGGAAGACACGGCUAUAUCUGUG